UAGGGAAUCUUCGGCAAUGGACGAAAGUCUGACCGAGCAACGCCGCGUGAGUGAAGAAGGUUUUCGGAUCGUAAAACUCUGUUGAUAGAGAAGAACGUUGGUGAGAGUGGAAAGCUCAUCAAGUGACGGUAACUACCCAGAAAGGGACGGCUAACUACGUGUCAG
rnacentral:rRNA from 1 species